AGGACGAACGCUGGCGGCGUGCUUAACACAUGCAAGUCGAGCGGUAAGGCCUCCUUCGGGGGUACACGAGCGGCGAACGGGUGAGUAACACGUGGGUGACCUGCCCUCAGCUCUGGGAUAAGCCUGGGAAACCGGGUCUAAUACCGGAUAUGACGCAUGGUCGCAUGGUCUGUGUGUGGAAAGAUUUAUUGGUCAGGGAUGAGCUCGCGGCCUAUCAGCUUGUUGGUGGGUAAUGGCCUACCAAGGCGACGACGGGUAGCC
rnacentral:rRNA from 1 species